rnacentral:rRNA from 1 species
AGCAGCCGCGGUAAUUCCAGCUCCAAUAGCGUAUAUUCAAGUUGUUGCAGUUAAAAAGCUCGUAGUUGAACUUCGGGGUCUACCCAUUGGUCAGGCUUAAUUGUCUGCACUGGUGAGAUGGAUCUCUACCUUCUGAGGAACUUUCAUGCCAUUUAUUUGGUGUGAUGGGAAAUCAGGACUGUUACUUUGAAAAAAUUAGAGUGUUUAAAGCAGGCUCACGCUUGAAUACAUUAGCAUGGAAUAAUGAAAUAGGACGUUCGAUCCUAUUUUGUUGGUUUUAGGAUCAACGUAAUGAUUAAUAGGGAUAGUUGGGGGCAUUAGUAUUCAAUUGUCAGAGGUGAAAUUCUUGGAUUUAUUGAAGACUAACUACUGCGAAAGCAUUUGCCAAGGAUGUUUUCAUUAAUCAAGAACGAAAGUUAGGGGAUCGAAGACGAUCAGAUACCGUCGUAGUCUUAACCAUAAACUAUGCCGACUAGGGAUCGGAUGAUGU